UGCAGUCGAGCGGAUGAAGGGAGCUUGCUCCUGGAUUCAGCGGCGGACGGGUGAGUAAUGCCUAGGAAUCUGCCUGGUAGUGGGGGAUAACGUCCGGAAACGGGCGCUAAUACCGCAUACGUCCUGAGGGAGAAAGUGGGGGAUCUUCGGACCUCACGCUAUCAGAUGAGCCUAGGUCGGAUUAGCUAGUUGGUGGGGUAAAGGCCUACCAAGGCGACGAUCCGUAACUGGUCUGAGAGGAUGAUCAGUCACACUGGAACUGAGACACGGUCCAGACUCCUACGGGAGGCAGCAGUGGGGAAUAUUGGACAAUGGGCGAAAGCCUGAUCCAGCCAUGCCGCGUGUGUGAAGAAGGUCUUCGGAUUGUAAAGCACUUUAAGUUGGGAGGAAGGGCAGUAAGUUAAUACCUUGCUGUUUUGACGUUACCAACAGAAUAAGCACCGGCUAACUUCGUGCCAGCAGCCGCGGUAAUACGAAGGGUGCAAGCGUUAAUCGGAAUUACUGGGCGUAAAGCGCGCGUAGGUGGUUCAGCAAGUUGGAUGUGAAAUCCCCGGGCUCAACCUGGGAACUGCAUCCAAAACUACUGAGCUAGAGUACGGUAGAGGGUGGUGGAAUUUCCUGUGUAGCGGUGAAAUGCGUAGAUAUAGGAAGGAACACCAGUGGCGAAGGCGACCACCUGGACUGAUACUGACACUGAGGUGCGAAAGCGUGGGGAGCAAACAGGAUUAGAUACCCUGGUAGUCCACGCCGUAAACGAUGUCGACUAGCCGUUGGGAUCCUUGAGAUCUUAGUGGCGCAGCUAACGCGAUAAGUCGACCGCCUGGGGGAUUACGGCCGCAAGGUUAAAACUCAAAUGAUUUGCCGGGGGCCCGCACA
rnacentral:rRNA from 1 species